AGAUUUACCUGGCAGAGGACAUACCACGAUCAGGAAGGUGGUUUUCCAGAGCAAGGCUGACCCACUGCACUCUACGUGUGCUGACUCCUGCGAUUUCCCCAAAUGUGGGAAACUCAACUGCAUAAUUUGUGGUAAUGGAGGACUGCGCUCAUGCUUUCCUUUG